UGAAUACGAGACGCUAAGGCGUCGAAGUAGUGUAUGUCAUACUUCCAAGAAAAGCUUGCACUGUCAUAGAUAAAAAACGCCUGUACCAUAACCGACACAGGUGGGUAGGUAGAGUAUACUAAGGGGCGCGAGAUAACUCUCUCUAAGGAACUCGGCAAAAUAACUCCGUAACUUCGGGAGAAGGAGUGCCUUAUUCGUAAGGUUGCAAUAACAAGAUCCAAGCAACUGUUUAUCAAAAACACAGGUCUCCGCUAAGUCGUAAGACGAUGUAUGGGGGCUGACGCCUGCCCAGUGCCAGAAGGUUAAAGAAGUUGGUUAGCAAUUGCGAAGCUGAUAACUGAAGCCCUGGUGAACGGCGGCCGUAACAAUAACGGUCCUAAGGUAGCGAAAUUCCUUGUCGGGUAAGUUCCGACCCGCACGAAAGGCGUAAUGAUUUGGAUACUGUCUCGGAGAGGGGCUCGGUGAAAUAGACUUGUCUGUGAAGAUGCGGACUACCUGCACCAGGACAGAAAGACCCUAUGAAGCUUUACUGUAACUUGAAAUUGAAAUUGGACUUUAUUCGCGCAGUAUAGGUGGGAGGCGUUGAUUAUAAUCUUGUGGGAUUAUUGGAGCCAUCAGUGAGAUACCACUCUUGUAAUGUUAGAUUUCUAACUUUGAAUCAUUAUCUGGUCAAAGAACAGUUUCAGGCGGGCAGUUUGACUGGGGCGGUCGCCUCCUAAACGGUAACGGAGGCGUACAAAGGUUUCCUCUGAACGGUUAGAAAUCGUAUCUAGAGUGUAAAGGCAUAAGGAAGCUUGACUGUGAGACCUACAAGUCGAGCAGGGACGAAAGUCGGUCUUAGUGAUCUGACGGUACUGAGUGGAAAGGCCGUCACUCAACGGAUAAAAGUUACUCUAGGAUAACAGGCUGAUCUCCCCCAAGAGUUCACAUCGACGGGGAGGUUUGGCACCUUGAUGUCGGCUCAUCGCAUCCUGGGGCGGUAGUACGUCCCAAGGGUUGGGCUGUUCGCCCAUGAAAGCGGUACGCGAGCUGGGUUCAGAACGUCGUGAGACAGUUCGGUCCAUAUCCGGUGUAGGCGUUAGAAUAUUGAGAGGAGCCUUCUUUAGUACGAGAGGACCGAGAAGGACAUACCUCUGGUGUACCAGUUAUCGUGCCAACGGUAAACGCUGGGUAGCUAUGUAUGGAGUGGAUAACCGCUGAAAGCAUCUAAGUGGGAAGCCCACCUCAAGAUAAGUAUUCUCAUC
rnacentral:rRNA from 1 species